ensembl:snRNA predicted gene, 24940
UUGGUGCAGGACAGGUUAGCAUUCCUCUUGACAAGGAUGGAAGAGACCCUUGGGCCAGACAAUACACCUAAUUCAGAAGCUGAUACCCAGGACUUGAAAGUCCAAUCA